rnacentral:misc_RNA from 1 species
GUGGGAUUGGCGCUAAGGCCCUAAACUAAACUAAAAACAAAUUCAUAACACAUUGACAAUCCAAAAAGGGAUGUGUUGAACAGAAAGCUCUCAACAGAGACAUAGGAACUUUGUUCAAAAUAAUAUCUAGAACAUGAUUGUUCUAAGCUCACAUACCUUCAGCUGCUUGGCUACAUCUUUAGCAGAUGACCCAGAAACUUC